AUAACGGAUUGCUCAAACAUUUGCAUCGUCACUGACGAUGAAUCACGGCGUGCCGCGAAACGUAUCAUCCCACGCGUUACAUCCCAACGGAGGGGAUGUAAUAUACCCAGGGCGAGAAAAUAGCCGUGGGGGUAACGGAUUAAGUGGAACACACACCGAUGAGACAUAUAAAAAUGUUAGUACGUAAACGGAGCCACUUUGAGAGCCACUGAAAUUUACAUCGGCGAUUGGGGUAAAUGCGUCCCAUGAAAUCUAUAAGGACCAUACAACACUACAAC